rnacentral:snRNA from 1 species
UUGCCUGUCAAAGCACAUAAAAUUGUAAUGCUACAGAAAAGAUUAGCAUGGCCCCUGCACAAGGACGACAAGACAGAGCUGAAAAUAUUAGGCAAACUUU